UGCAAGUCGAGCGGUAACAGGAAUUAGCUUGCUAAUUUGCUGACGAGCGGCGGACGGGUGAGUAAUGCCUAGGGAACUGCCCAGUCGAGGGGGAUAACAGUUGGAAACGACUGCUAAUACCGCAUACGCCCUACGGGGGAAAAGAGGGGACCUUCGGGCCUUCUGCGAUUGGAUGUACCUAGGUGGGAUUAGCUAGUUGGUGAGGUAAUGGCUCACCAAGGCGACGAUCCCUAGCUGUUCUGAGAGGAUGAUCAGCCACACUGGGACUGAGACACGGCCCAGACUCCUACGGGAGGCAGCAGUGGGGAAUAUUGCACAAUGGGCGCAAGCCUGAUGCAGCCAUGCCGCGUGUGUGAAGAAGGCCUUCGGGUUGUAAAGCACUUUCAGCGAGGAGGAAAGCUUAAGCGUUAAUAGCGUUUAGGUGUGACGUUACUCGCAGAAGAAGGACCGGCUAACUUCGUGCCAGCAGCCGCGGUAAUACGAGGGGUCCAAGCGUUAAUCGGAAUUACUGGGCGUAAAGCGUACGCAGGCGGUUUGUUAAGCGAGAUGUGAAAGCCCCGGGCUCAACCUGGGAACUGCAUUUCGAACUGGCAAACUAGAGUCUUGUAGAGGGGGGUAGAAUUUCAGGUGUAGCGGUGAAAUGCGUAGAGAUCUGAAGGAAUACCGGUGGCGAAGGCGGCCCCCUGGACAAAGACUGACGCUCAUGUACGAAAGCGUGGGGAG
rnacentral:rRNA from 1 species